UACGUAGGGGGCUAGCGUUGUCCGGAAUCAUUGGGCGUAAAGAGCGUGUAGGCGGUCCGGUAAGUCCGCUGUGAAAGUCGGGGGCUCAACCCUCGAAUGCCGGUGGAUACUGUCGGGCUAGAGUACGGAAGAGGAGGGUGGAAUUCCUGGUGUAGCGGUGAAAUGCGCAGAUAUCAGGAAGAACACCAAUGGCGAAGGCAGCUCUCUGGGACGGUACUGACGCUGAGACGCGAAAGCGUGGGGAGCAAACAGG
rnacentral:rRNA from 1 species